GCAAAGGGCCUCUGAGGGAGUAUUACAGCCGCCUCAUCCACCAGAAGCAUUUCCAGCACAUCCAGGGGCUCAGGGGCUCGUGGAAGAAGUGGACAUUGAAGUAUUUAUCACACAAAUGAGUGUAAAAUUACAAUAGCGAUAUCUGCCACGAAGGUGAGCAGACAGAGCUAGCGGGGCUUGCAGAGGAGUUUUGAUCUUGCAGGGACAGGAAGGAGGAGUUAGCUCCUGCGGGGUGGGAUUGGGGGUGGUGGUGAUAUAGACGUGGGGACAGAGUGGAAAACAACAAAAAUAUAAUUAUUUUAGUUCAAAGUUAUUGUGUCUUGAGUUGAAAGGCAGGGCAGUUAGCAACACAGUUCAGAUUUCAGUAAUGCCCCUGAAAUCUGAACUGUGUUCAAAGUCUAAAACGUUUACCUUAGCAAAUUCCUCAUAAAACUCCAUUUGGAAGAGUCCCGAGAGCUAAUUUGUUCAGUAUACUUGCAAAAGGUAGAUGAGGAGACAGAUAAAAUCUUAUUAC
rnacentral:sRNA from 1 species